AUCUAGGGAGGAAAACAUCGAGAUUUAGUUUCCGUGUGGAUGAGUCUUAUGGAACAACCUCGUGUAGGUGAAGAUGAAGCUAGACCCAGACUGGAGCAGAAAUUCAAGCUGAGAGUAUCUGGAACCAUAGAAGUAACCAUAGAGUAAGGAGCCAUACGUGGUCAAGGGCUGACACUUUACCCCACGGAAGCUGAAGCAGGUGGAGACAAAGCUGUAUCAUUCAAUCUUAGACCCUUUGUUAAGAAAUGCCUACUUCUUGAAUGGAACUAAAUAUUGCCUUUGACAAGAUCCUGGUUACCACAAGACUCUUCUAAUUAACCCAGAAUAAUCAUGCCAUCUCACAGCAUCUCACGGUCGUGUCGUGUCAUCUCACAGAAGGGACAGUGGGAAUGAAGAACAGCCUCUGUACCCCUUCAGGACCACCAUAACUCCCCUCGGAAGAAGUCACAGUAGAGAUCACUGCGGACUCCUGUUUUGGGGCUGUCAGCGAGCCAGGGUGGGGCGAUCCUUCAGCAGCAUGGAUGUGCUGCUCUCAUUGAGAAUGUAUCUAGUGGGUGGCCAACAUACAGUUCAUCCAUUCCCGUCCAGAGGAUAAGCACUUUGCAAGCUUGCUUGGAGAGGUCUGACAGUCAAGCUGGUAGAAAAGGGUGUCUCAGUUCAUCCGGGUCACCCAAGAGUGGAACAAUUGUGAGUCGCAUGCUUCUGGGGAAAAAAAAAAAACACUUCCCUUACACAUUAUCAAAGUAGCCCAUCUUCAUGUUAUGUAAUAAAAAUUUUAGGGGAGUCUGUAAGCAUUCAUUUUUCCAUUGUAACUUUAGGAUUUUUUUUUUACUAGCAAUGGGCUCAUUUUCAAUAAACGGUGAAAUAAAUACUCUCUAAAUUGGGGUGAAAACAGCACAUAACUGGAUUCCUUCCUACUACUUGCGACUGGGUUCAUUUCCCACUUCAGUACAGUGUAUGCAUAAACAAUGAUAUAAGGGCAGUAUCUUGUAUUUUGGGACUGGAAUGUUUUGAUGAUAGCAGUCCACUGAGCCCCGGAGUGGA
rnacentral:sRNA from 1 species